GCCUGUAUGGCCAAGUGGUAAGGCACUGCACUUGUAUGCUCAUUCCCACAUGGGACACAGUGUUCAUGCAGCGAUCCCUCGUUCGAUCCGGGGUGCAGGCA